rnacentral:lncRNA from 1 species
ACCCACUAACAGCAAGUCCAACAGCCUGACAACCUUGAAACCGCAUGUUCCCAUGAUUAUCCAGCCAUAUCCUCUAUAAAUAACUAAAGCCCCAAGGACUUAGGUAAGUAACCCCUCUCAAAGAACCAGUUGCUGCUUUUAUUGUUCUCUGAUUUCUGACUUGAGCGUCGGAGGAUCCUCAUCGGAGUGAAAAAACUCCGAUCCAGACU